UACGUGGGAGUCCAGCGACAUACGCUAACUGCUGGUUCCCAUGUCUCAGGUGAAGAAUACCAUAUCAUAGUCUAGGAUGCAGGUGGUAUGACUGAAUUGGACUGAACUGCCCUCAAUGGCCCCAUCCUGAUGCUGCAGUUACAGAACAGACCAAGGGAAAACACAGUUUAGCAACCAUUGUCUGAAGCCCAGUGGGUAUACUCAGAUGCUUGAGGUGGGGCUUAAUUGGCCUUAAAACCCUCACAACUAAUCCUACAGUUGCCUAAGUAGAAUAUAGGCCUUGUCACCUUUCCUUGUGUUAACUUUUCCAUAUCAUUUACCCAUAUAGGAACAGAGAGUUAACAGGCCUUUUAGCAUACAUUUCACACCCUAAGCUUCCUAGCCAGUCUAAGAUGUGGUAGUCAAGGUAAAAUUCUCAACACCCACAUCUCUGAUCAUGCAAUUUCCAAGGAGAAAAAGCAGAGGGAAAUAAGGUUUUUAUCAGCCAUUCUCCACUAUAAGCCACAUGUGCACACACCGCCCCCCCCCCUUUUUAUUUCUUUCUUUGGUACAACAGGCAGGACUGAAUUGGGCUCAACAACCUCUAUCCUGAUCUUGCCAUUGCAGAGUAGAAGAUAGGAAGGUCCAUCUUUUGUGUGAGAUACCUUUACUUCCUCUUUCACCCAUAUAGGAGCAGAGGGAAUAACCUUUUGUACUUUAUCUCCACCUGAAGUCUACUGCCCAGUCUAGUGGUUGGAAUACAGGAUGGAAUGACUCUUCAAUUCUCAUCCCUGAACUUGCAGUUACUGAAUAGAAGGAGCUGAGGGAAGACAGAUCUUUUAGUAUCCAGUCGCCAACUGAAGCUUUCUAUCCAGUUUUGGAUGUAGUGGGUGGAGCUGAAUUGACCUCAAUAUCCUCACUCCUAUUCCUGCAUUUACAGAGCAGAAGUUGCAGUUCACAUGGACUCUGUGAGCCACCUCCAAAAGUUCUGUUGCAUUCAUUCCACUGAAAACCUCCAACUUCUGCAGCUUUUGGUGGAUAUCAGCUGCUACUUGGGUCAUAAAUACUGCAUUUAUCAUUCAUUGACUUUCUCACACUUCUAGAAGAAAGGGUAUAUAUAUCCUGAAAGCUUCACAGAGUCUCUUGUAAAAUUCAGCUGGGGACUCUGACCUUUUGGGUCACUGUAAUUAUUUUGGCCAUGUUAAUCAGCUCUUUGGCUCUUGCCUUUACCCCUCAGAGUAGUACUGUGUAGUACUGGUUAAGAAAGAUUGGUCAGCCCUACCUCCGAAUUAUGGUCCAAAUCUGUUUUAGUCUGGAGCAGCUGUCUUUUUCCAUUCCUCAAUAUCAAGAAUGCCCACUGGGGGCUCUUUUCUGGCUGGAACCAUGGAGAAGAAAAAGGUUCCUGCUGUGCCAGAAACCCUUAAGAAAAAGCGAAGGAAUUUUGCG